rnacentral:rRNA from 1 species
GACGAACGCUGGCGGCGUGCCUAACACAUGCAAGUCGAACGGGGCUCUUUGGAUCGAGACUUCGGUCAAGUGAAUCUGAGCUUAGUGGCGGACGGGUGAGUAACGUGUAAAGAACUUGCCCUCUAGACUGGGAUAACAGAUAGAAAUGUCUGAUAAUACCGGAUAUUAUUGUUACAUGGCAUCAUGUAGGAAUGAAAGGAUAAGAUUGCUAGAGGAGAGCUUUGCAUCCUAUUAGCUAGUUGGUGAGGUAACGGCCCACCAAGGCGACGAUCAGUAGCCGGACUGAGAGGUUGACCGGCCACAUUGGGACUGAGAUACGGCCCAG